GAAAGCCGGAUGCGCGGAGACGUGCACGUCCGGUUUGGCGGGCGGGAGGGGGAAACGGAGCCGGGGAAACCCGGCCACCGCGCCCCCUCCCGACCCGAC
rnacentral:ncRNA from 1 species